rnacentral:lncRNA from 1 species
GAUAUCAAAUAUUUCAAAUUAAAAUAUAAACUCAAAAUAUUUAAAUAACAUAAUAAUAAGAAGUAACGUAAUCAUUUCUGUCUUUUACUAAUAGAAAAAUUAUUUUUUGAAUCAACAUUUUCAGUAACAAUUGUUCUGGAAUCCACAUCAUUAAGCAGAACAUGACUACCUAUUUGCAUCCCACAUAUAUCUCUUUUCUUCAUAGUCUAUCAAUAAAAAUAAUAUAUAUUUUAUUAUUAUAUAAUUUUUUAUUUUAUUGAAUUUUCAGUCAUCAUUAAAGAUUUACUCCAGAGAAAAGGUAGAGAUAAAUUUUUUGAUAGUUGAAUUGUUAAUAACUUCUUAAUCCCAAUAGCUCAGAAUUUCAUCCAGAAUGAAUCAUCUAGAAUGACCAAG